rnacentral:rRNA from 1 species
CUCGUAGGCGGUUUGUCGCGUCUGCUGUGAAAUCCGAGGCUCAACCUCGGACCUGCAGUGGGUACGGGCAAACUAGAGUGCGGUAGGGGAGAUGGGAAUUCCUGGUGUAGCGGUGGAAUGCGCAGAUAUCAGGAGGAACACCAAUGGCGAAGGCACAUCUCUGGGCCGUAACUGACGCUGAGGAGCGAAAGCGUGGGGAGCGAACA